AUUGAACGCUGGCGGCCGGCUUAACACCUGCCAGUCGAACGAGAGGCGGACGGGUGAGUACUGUCUGAGAAACUGCCUGAUGGAGGGGGAUAACUACUGGAAAAGGUAGCUAAUACCGCAUACCACCAACUGUGCCCAGAUGGGAUUAGCUUGUGGGUGGGGUAACGGCUCACCAAGGCGACGAUCCCUAGCUGGUCUGAGAGGAUGACCAGACACACUGUAACUGAUACACGGUCAAGACUCCUACGGGAGGAAGGAGUGGGUAAUAUUGCACAAUGGGCGAAAGCCUGAUGCAGCCAUGCCGCGUGUAUGAAGAAGGCCUUCGGGUUGUAAAGUACUGUCAGCGGGGAGGCGUUACCCGCAGAAGAAGCACCGGCUAACUCCGUGCCAGCAGCCGCGGUAAUAC
rnacentral:rRNA from 1 species